GGGGGUGUAGCUCAGUUGGUAGAGNNAGAGCGCUUGAAUGGCAUUCAAGAGGUCAGGAGUUCAAUUCUCCUCACCUCCACGA
rnacentral:tRNA from 1 species